rnacentral:rRNA from 1 species
GACGAACGCUGGCGGCGUGCUUAACACAUGCAAGUCGAACGGAAAGGCCCUGCUUUUGUGGGGUGCUCGAGUGGCGAACGGGUGAGUAACACGUGAGUAACCUGCCCUUGACUUUGGGAUAACUUCAGGAAACUGGGGCUAAUAUCGGAUAGGAGCUCCUGCUGCAUGGUGGGGGUUGGAAAGUUUCGGCGGUUGGGGAUGGACUCGCGGCUUAUCAGCUUGUUGGUGGAGUAGUGGCUUACCAAGGCUUUGACGGGUAGCCGGCCUGAGAGGGUGACCGGCCACAUUGGGACUGAGAUACGGCCCAGACUCCUACGGGAGGCAGCAGUGGGGAAUAUUGCACAAUGGGCGGAAGCCUGAUGCAGCAACGCCGCGUGCGGGAUGACGGCCUUCGGGUUGUAAACCGCUUUCGCCUGUGACGAAGCGUGAGUGACGGUAAUGGGUAAAGAAGCACCGGCUAACUACGUG